rnacentral:rRNA from 1 species
GACGAACGCUGGCGGCGUGCUUAACACAUGCAAGUCGAACGAAGUGGCGAACGGGUGAGUAACGCGUAAUCAACCUGCCCUUCAGAGGGGGACAACAGUUGGAAACGACUGCUAAUACCGCAUACUGAAGGAGGGGAUUGCGUCUGAUUAGCUAGGUGGGGGGGGAACGGCCCACCAAGGCGAUGAUCAGUAGCCGGGCUGGUGAGUGGAACGGCCAAAUGGGGACUGAGACACGGCCCAAGAUCCUACGGGAGGCAGCAGUGGGGAAUCUUCCGAAAUGGACGAAAGUCUGACGGAGCAACGCCGCGUGAGUGAUGACGGCCUUCGGGUUGUAAAGCUCUGUUAAUCGGGACGCGGUACCGGAAUAGAAAGCCACGGCUAACUACGUGCCAGCAGCCGCGGUAAUAC